GCAUUGGUAGGGUAGACUUAUCUUAUCAAUUUGUCUUUUAUCACUAAUGUAAAUUUUGUUUAUUAUGAGUAAUCAAGCAUCACCUAAAUCGAGUUUUUUUGUGUAGUUUGCUAUCAGUUUCUGAUCAAAUUUCAUCCUACAUUCCUUCGAAUUUAUUGAAAUGUUAUCAAUCGAGUUACGCAGAAAAUUUUCCAAAGCCUCCAUUAACUAUUCAAACUUUUAUAGAACUUAUUAGAAAAUUAGAAUUUGACGAAGGAAAUACGUUAAACAUGAGAGUACUAUCAAAUGCAUUGCUUCAUAGUAUUCGGUUGGAUGGUAUAAGAAGAACAGAAGGAUUGAUGGAGACAUCUUACGUUAUUCCUUACAGAGCUUCGGGGCUACAGUAUUAUAAAUACAAACUUAUAGUUAAAUAUUUAACAGCCAAUGAACCGUUUUUAGUUCCACUGGAUGCAUUAAAUCUUUUCGAAAAAUGCUUGCUACAUCAAAUGAUUUCUAGCACAGCAGAUGAUCGCUUAAGAAGAGAUGAAAGCAGUACAUGUUCCCAGAUACAUUCGAGAGAAAGGUAAUGCAUGAAAGUUAAGCUUAAAUAUUUUUUAUUUCCUCUUAAAAUUAGAACGCACGUUAUAAAACAU
rnacentral:lncRNA from 1 species